rnacentral:rRNA from 1 species
AGUGAACGCUGGCGGUAGGCCUAACACAUGCAAGUCGAACGGCAGCACAGUAAGAGCUUGCUCUUACGGGUGGCGAGUGGCGGACGGGUGAGGAAUAAAUCGGAAUCUACUUUUUCGUGGGGGAUAACGUAGGGAAACUUACGCUAAUACCGCAUACGACCUACGGGUGAAAGCAGGGGAUCUUCGUACCUUGCGCGAUUGACUGAGCCGAUGUCGGAUUAGCUAGUUGGCGGGGUAAAGGCCCACCAAGGCGACGAUCCGUAGCUGGUCUGAGAGGAUGAUCAGCCACACUGGAACUGAGACACGGACCAGACGCCUACGAGAGGCAGCAGUGGGGAAUAUUGGACAAUGGGCGCAAGCCUGAUCCAGCCAUACCGCGUGGGUGAAGGAGGCCUUCGGGGUGUAAAGCCCUUUUGUUGGGAAAGAAAAGCAGCAGGUUAAGACCCCGCUGUUCUGACGGUACCCAAAGAAUAAGCACCGGCUAACUUCGUG